CAAGCAGUUCAGCUUCCAUUUACCGCUGUGAGACAGUGGGCAAGUUCCUUGUCUCCUGUGUGUCUCAUUAUCCAUUUAUCAACACAGAAUAUUUGCCGAGGUCUUCCUGUACUAGGCUCGUGCAGACAGCCUCAGAUGAAAGGCUGGCAAACAGAUCAAAGAUGCUGUUGGUAGACACAAUAAAAAUUCAUGUAGAAAAAAGGCAGAGGUCCACAGGCUCUAUUCCUAAGAAACCGAAAAAGGAGAAGAAAGGAGAGGAACCUCACCCGGACACAACAAAUGGGUAACAGACACUUUCUAGAGCCAAUGACAGAGGCACCAUUGACGGUGAUGAGAAAGGUGGAGAGACAGACAAAAGUAAACAACGCGGGGCUCGGCUCUGCUCUGCCAGCUGGGGAAAUAGUCAUAGCAACAGGAAAGGUGGACUGAGACAACUGCUGUUCUGCUCUUAUGACUUAUUCAUUUUAGCAGGGGAAUGCAGGUGCAACAGCUGGGCAGAGCUGUGAAGACGUCUGAAGGAUGUACCGUCGGGGACAUGAAAUUCGGAAGUCACAUACAGCUUCCCAGUCCAGACUCAACUCUACUCUGAAGGAUGAAGACAGCUCUCAUUUAUUCUCUGUGCUAGGCACAAGGGAUGCAUAUGAGAAAAACUGACAGGACAGAAGCCCAUGGUGGAGCUGGAACUUGGCGGGAAGACUACAUGCCUAAUGUGAUCCCAAGAUAACUCAGCUGUCUUCCAGAGGUCUGACCAUUGCCAUCCCUGCCACAUGCUGGAACAUGACCACAGUGUUUCCUGUUCACGUUUCCAGCUGCAGAAAGGCCUCAACGGUGCUUGUCUGCCAUUGCUACUGCUGGCCAAGUCAGGGAGAGCCAAUACCCACGGAGCCCUGGCAAUUGUUUUUAAGAGACUUACUAUAACCAGAGCUGUAGAGUUUUCAGGAAGCUGUGCCGGGUAGGGAGGGAAGUGGGAAGCAGCAACAGACAUCGUGCACUAGAGGGUGCCAAAGUCCUGAGCAACGGAGUCUAGCCAGGAAGAAUUUGUCUUCACCUUGAAGCCUCAAGAGAAGCACCAUCAAGGAGUCUUGCGUCUUAGAGCUGGACUGGAAGGGGGCCAUCAGCACUUUUGCUAUCAGAGAGAUGAUUCCAAAACAAUGAGCAGAGAAAGAUCCAUGCUGGUACUAGAAGCUUUCAAAGGCAAGGCCUCUGUGAUUUUAUUUUAAUGACUAUCCUAACAGCUACCUGUUUGUACAGUGUCUUAGAAUUAUACUUGCAGCUGUAAACAUAUUAAAUCCUCCCAGCACGUCUAAUGGGCUAUUCACAGUUUAUCAACAACCUAGGAGAAGUUAGGAAAGUUUAG